UACGUAGGGCGCAAGCGUUGUCCGGAAUUAUUGGGCGUAAAGAGCUCGUAGGCGGCUUGUUACGUCUGCUGUGAAAUCCCAGGGCUUAACCCUGGGCCUGCAGUGGGUACGGGCAAACUAGAGUGCGGUAGGGGAGAUUGGAAUUCCUGGUGUAGCGGUGGAAUGCGCAGAUAUCAGGAGGAACACCGAUGGCGAAGGCAGAUCUCUGGGCCGUAACUGACGCUGAGGAGCGAAAGCAUGGGGAGCGAACAGG
rnacentral:rRNA from 1 species